AAGGUAAACAGUUCAUAAAGUUACUUACACAUUGACUUUAUAAACGUUUUGACAAAAAAGUACGAAACUUGGAUUAUGAAUUAUGGUACUUCUUCUAUGACGAAACGCAUUUUCUUCCAUAUUAUUUCGAAACUAGGAAACUAGAAAGUUGAACCAUGUUUUCUUAUUCAGUGUGGUACGUGAUAAUACACGACAUAAUCUAUGAACGAUAUAGCCGUUAAUUAUAAAGGGCAAUAACUCUGAUAAACAUACGUUAAAUAUAUGAAAACAUAAAAUGUAAUGUAGGAUGCUUCCUUAAAGUCAAAGUGAUGAAUUUCUAUUUAUAAUAAUUAUUAUGUUUUAGCCACAACAAAAUAAAAUUACUGUGCCAGAAUAUGGAUGAUGAGGGAUUACGACACCCCAGACUUCUUUGACUUCUUCGGCUAAAUGACGUCACAUCCGCCCUCUAUGACUCCCAAGUCGCCCACAGCACCCCAUGUGAAUUCCGGCAUUAAAUGCCGCCAAUUUGUUGUCUCGUUGCCUGUUAUAACUGUUUUGUUCUUUUUCACUUUAUUGUCCAAUGAAGUGUGUCAUGUGACUUGUUAUCUGCUAUUAAAUAAUUUAUACUGUA